rnacentral:misc_RNA from 1 species
CUGUCCGAGCGCUUGCGCUCUGCGG